rnacentral:rRNA from 1 species
UACGAAGGGGGCUAGCGUUGUUCGGAAUCACUGGGCGUAAAGCGCACGUAGGCGGAUUUUUAAGUCAGGGGUGAAAUCCCGAGGCUCAACCUCGGAACUGCCUUUGAUACUGGAGAUCUUGAGUCCGGAAGAGGUAAGUGGAACUGCGAGUGUAGAGGUGAAAUUCGUAGAUAUUCGCAAGAACACCAGUGGCGAAGGCGGCUUACUGGUCCGGAACUGACGCUGAGGUGCGGAAAAGCGUGGGGAGCAAACAGGG